rnacentral:rRNA from 1 species
AUGGCUCAGGACAGAUCAGGUUCUAUCACAAUGGAAAUCCUGUCGAAGCUUCAGGGUAAUGACCAUGAACUACCAAGGGCAGAACUUGCACUAAUGGCGGCCUGGUACAUUUGGUGGCAGCGACGGCAGAUUGCCAAAGGUAUUGAGGUCCAAGAUCCGUCGAGAACGGCUCUAGCAAUUAGAGUUCUGACAACGAAUUACUUGCGAUCAGUGUCUCCCAAGGGCACAUCAAGGACAGUUGAUCAUAUUUGGAAGAAGCCAAACCGGGGGAUAGUGAAGAUUAAUGUUGAUGCUGCGUUCCAAUAUGAAACACUCUCGGGAGCGAGUGGGGCUGUGGCCCGGGAUGAUCGAGGAGAUUUUAUAGCAGCAGCAAAUUGGUUCUUUCCAGUAGUAACAGGGGUGGACAGCGCUGAACUAAUGGCGAUCAGGAAUGGUCUCUACCUAGCAGCCAAUAUUGGGUGCAGCACUGUUGUUCUGGAGUCAGAUUCUUCAUUUGUGGUGGACUCAAUGAACCAAAUCUACGAUUAUAUGGGGCCGGAUAUAGCUAUCAUCAUGGAGUAUUUUUUCGAGAUGUGGAAAAGCCUCCGCGUCUCACCGCAGAUCCCCAUACAUCCAUCGCAGAAAAACAGUACAGUAAUCCCCACUAUACAUCCAUCCGAUCCCAUCCUUCUGUCCCCAAGGCCCAAACCUCGGGCCGUCUUCCUCCUCCUCCUCAUCUUCUUCUACAGGAGCGGCGGGCGGAUCUACAGUCUCCGGAGCUCCGGGGGAGGAAGGAAGGAAAAUAUCCGCGAAAGAAAGAGACUGAUGAGCCAAAGCGUGACGACGGCACGCCUCCGCUCACCUAACCAGACCCCUCCUUAAACAAAGCCUCCCCGUCUCACAUCACACCCGCCUGCCUCUUAUCGCCUCCCACCUCACUCCCUCUCCCCUCCUCUCCCCCCCUGUCUGCCGCCAUGGCCCAAGCUUGGGCCUUCCUCCUCCCGGUGCUCGUCUUCGGCUCCUACGUGACCAGCCUCUUCUUCCCCAGCUAUAUAUCCGGCCCCCUCUGCGGCGGCGAUGGGGGAGGCAGAUCCUUGUUCCUCUGCGCGCAGGCUCCCAAGGACCAGGACCCAUCUCCUGCUGUCAGCACCAUGUACAAGACCGCCUUCCACUUCCAGCCCGCCAAGAACUGGAUGAACGGUAUACGCUGAUUUCUUCUCUGAAUUUCCCCCCUUUUUGAGCUUGCUCUGUGAUUUCUUUUCCUUUUUAAGCUUCCUCUCUGCUUUGGGCCGUCUGUUGACUCUUUGUUCGUGGCAAGGGCCAAUCGGGGAGCCCCUCUGAUCUGGUGUGCUUUUCUUGUUCGUGGUCCAACAGAAAGCAGGCGAUCAGAUUGGUUACUGUUUCUUUUCUCCCAACUUGGGCAGUACCCGAUCUUAAUUUUGCCUGCCAGUAUAUUAAAACUUAUGCUCCACGUGUUAAAAUAUGCAGUGCAUAUUUUUGUGUCAACAAAAAGUUUUAGGCGGCUGAAAGGGUUGGUGGCUAGCUACCUCAUUGCUUCUGCAAGUCGGUCGUUGCUGAAUGAUGCUCGGUGUGAGGGCGCUGCAGAUAGAUUUUGAGUAUAGGCAUACUCUGCAGAUGCUUGAGCAAAACACAAGUACUCCCUCCAUUCCAAAUUACUCGUCGUGGUUUUAGUUCAAAUUUGGAACGAGUAAUUUGGAACGGAGGGAGUAGUAUCCAUUGCAGAAAUGGUGAACUAAUUUCAGAGCAAGUGUUAUGUACCUUCUCACCAAAGUGUAUGCCACUUCCAUGCUGGUAUUGUCUGAAACUGUCCGUGUUUGCUCCACUGUUAGUGUCUUUACUUUUGGUCAGAAAUCAUUCAGUUAGGAAACACAGAAGCAUCCAUUGCACAAAUGGUGAAUUAUUGCCAGAGGAAGUGCUAGUAUGCGCCUUGUCACCAAGGUGUAUGACAUUUCAAUGGUAGCGUUGUCUGAAAAUGUCCAUGUUUGCUCCACUGUCAGUGUUACUUUUGAUCAGAAAGCAUUCAGUUAGGCAAACUAAACAGAUCUGUUAUACUCAUAUAGUACGACACAAGGGAAGCACUGACCUGUUGAUUCCUGUUUGUGGCAAGGCCAAUCAGAGAGCCUCUAUGAUUGGGUGUGCUUUUCUUCUUAUUGGUCUAAAAAAAGCAAGUGAUCUCAACUGUUAUGUCUUCCCCUGCUGGAGAAGCUAAGUCAAAUCUAGUAGCUGAUCUUAAUUUUGUGUACUAAUAUUCCACGUGUAAAAAUAUGUAGUAUAUUCUUGGCAGCAGCAUCGUUGCAAAACUGUUUUUAUGUAAAAAAUAAUUAGACAAGGGAUAAGGUCGGUAGCCAGCUCAUUGCUUGUUCAGGUCUGUUGCUGAAUGCUGCAAACAGUAGGUGCUCAGUGUAAGGGCGCUGCAGUUAGAUUUUGAGUGGUCCUGCCAUAAUAUGAUGAUAGCCACAUAUUAUUUUGAUGCUUGCACAAAACAGGAUUAUUCAUUGAAUUACUUUCAUAGAUAGUGUACCUUCUCACCAAGGUGCAUGCCACCUGAAAAUGUCCACAUUUGCUCCACUGUUAGUGCUGUUUUUGGUCAGAAAGCGUUCAGUUAGGCAUGUCGCUUUUAUCGUCCAUACCAGGCCAAACUACAACACCAUAAAUUAUGUGUUGGAAAAAUAUUGGGCAUGUCUGUUAUAUACCCAUACAGAAGUAAUGAAGUACUGGCCUGUUUUGGAAUCUAGAUUAUCUUUGGUCCAUAUCCUAUUAAUUGUGCAUCUGUUGCAAGUCACUGACGUUCUCUUACCUUUUUCAAACAUCUGAUGGAUUGGUGAAAUCUACGACAAUACAAAAGAUCCAUCUGGACCAAUGUACUUCAAUGGCUUCUACCAUGAAUUCUACCAGUACAACCUGAACGGCCCCAUUUUUGGUGACAUAGUUUGGGGCCAUUCGGUUUCAACAGACCUCGUCAACUGGAUCGGGCUUGAACCCGCGUUAGUGCGGGAUACCCCAAGUGACAUAGACGGUUGCUGGACCGGCUCGGUCACCAUUCUGCCAGGUGGUAAACCAGUCAUCAUAUACACUGGUGGCGACAAAGAUCAACAUCAGGCACAAAACAUCGCGUUCCCCAAAAACCGGUCUGACCCAUACCUGAGGGAAUGGAUCAAAGCAGCCAAUAACCCGGUGCUCCGACCGGACGAACCAGGGAUGAACUCGAUCGAGUUCAGGGAUCCGACAACCGGUUGGAUCGGACCGGACGGACUGUGGAGGAUGGCAGUUGGUGGUGAGCUGAACGGCUACAGUGCUGCACUUUUGUACAAGAGUGAAGACUUUCUGAACUGGACAAAAGUUGAUCACCCACUGUAUUCACAUAAUGGAUCCAAUAUGUGGGAGUGUCCGGAUUUCUUUGCGGUAUUGCCGGGCAAUAAUGCUGGACUGGAUCUGUCCGCAGCGAUUCCACAAGGCGCCAAGCAUGCCCUCAAAAUGAGCGUGGAUUCAGUUGACAAGUACAUGAUCGGGGUGUAUGAUCUCCAACGUGAUGCCUUUGUGCCAGAUAAUGUCGUAGAUGACCGUCGGCUGUGGCUGAGAAUAGAUUAUGGCACUUUCUAUGCUUCAAAAUCAUUCUUUGACUCGAACAAGAACAGGAGGAUCAUAUGGGGUUGGUCUAGGGAGACAGAUAGUCCUUCAGAUGACCUUGAAAAAGGUUGGGCAGGACUCCAUACAAUCCCCAGGACCAUUUGGUUAGCCGACAAUGGCAAGCAGUUGUUACAAUGGCCAGUUGAGGAGAUUGAGUCCCUUCGAACAAAUGAAAUCAGCCAUCAAGGAAUAGAGCUCAACAAGGGAGAUCUAUUUGAGAUCAAGGAAGUUGACGCUUUUCAGGCUGAUGUAGAGAUAGGUUUCGAGCUGGCGUCCAUCGAUGACGCCGAUCCUUUUGAUCCUUCCUGGCUUUUGGACCCCGAGAAGCAUUGUGGGGAAGCGGGUGCAUCAGUUCCUGGUGGUAUAGGUCCAUUUGGACUUGUCAUUCUGGCCUCCGACAACAUGGACGAGCACACUGAGGUGUAUUUCAGAGUCUACAAGUCACAGGAAAAGUACAUGGUACUCAUGUGCUCUGAUCUAAGAAGGUCUUCCCUGAGACCAGAUCUGGAGAAACCAGCCUAUGGAGGCUUCUUUGAAUUUGAUCUUGAAAAGGAAAGGAAGAUAUCACUCAGAACUCUGAUUGACCGGUCGGCGGUGGAGAGCUUCGGCGGCGGUGGCAGGGUUUGCAUCACAUCCAGAGUUUAUCCGGCGGUGCUCGCCGACGUCGGCAGGGCCCACAUUUACGCUUUCAACAAUGGAAGUGCCACGGUCAGGGUGCCACAGCUCAGCGCAUGGACCAUGAGGAAGGCACAAGUGAAUGUGGAGAAGGGCUGGAGUGCUAUUUAAAAGAGAGGAUCAAAUUGAUUUUCUCGAUUCUUUUACUGUCAUUCAUGAGCAUUGCCUGGCAGAAAUAAGGACAUUCAGCAGGAAAAAAUAGCCUAUCAUUUCUUUGAUCUCUAGUAUUCAUAUAUUGUACUAGUUACUACUUAGUAUGCCCUUCCCAUCUCAGUUACUUGUAUCAAUUUUUAAAGAAACGCACACUAGUCCUGAAAUUCACGGGAUGAGUACUUCAGUCACACAUAUGAAUCUCUUGAAACGUUUUAAAGUAGUUAAAAGACUCGGUGAGCAAACAUGUCAUAUGCCCCUUCACGGUGUUGAGAUGUCCUGCUGACUUGUCUUUCUUGUUGCAAA